rnacentral:rRNA from 1 species
GAUGAACGCUAGCUACAGGCUUAACACAUGCAAGUCGAGGGGCAGCAUGGUCUUAGCUUGCUAAGGCCGAUGGCGACCGGCGCACGGGUGAGUAACACGUAUCCAACCUGCCGUCUACUCUUGGACAGCCUUCUGAAAGGAAGAUUAAUACAAGAUGGCAUCAUGAGUCCGCAUGUUCACAUGAUUAAAGGUAUUCCGGUAGACGAUGGGGAUGCGUUCCAUUAGAUAGUAGGCGGGGUAACGGCCCACCUAGUCUUCGAUGGAUAGGGGUUCUGAGAGGAAGGUCCCCCACAUUGGAACUGAGACACGGUCCAAACUCCUACGGGAGGCAGCAGUGAGGAAUAUUGGUCAAUGGGCGAGAGCCUGAACCAGCCAAGUAGCGUGAAGGAUGACUGCCCUAUGGGUUGUAAACUUCUUUUAUAAAGGAAUAAAGUCGGGUAUGCAUACCCGUUUGCAUGUACUUUAUGAAUAAGGAUCGGCUAACUCCGUGCCAGCAGCCGCGGUAAUACGGAGGAUCCGAGCGUUAUCCGGAUUUAUUGGGUUUAAAGGGAGCGUAGAUGGAUGUUUAAGUCAGUUGUGAAAGUUUGCGGCUCAACCGUAAAAUUGCAGUUGAUACUGGAUAUCUUGAGUGCAGUUGAGGCAGGCGGAAUUCGUGGUGUAGCGGUGAAAUGCUUAGAUAUCACGAAGAACUCCGAUUGCGAAGGCAGCCUGCUAAGCUGCAACUGACAUUGAGGCUCGAAAGUGUGGGUAUCAAACAGGAUUAGAUACCCUGGUAGUCCACACGGUAAACGAUGAAUACUCGCUGUUUGCGAUAUACAGCAAGCGGCCAAGCGAAAGCGUUAAGUAUUCCACCUGGGGAGUACGCCGGCAACGGUGAAACUCAAAGGAAUUGACGGGGGCCCGCACAAGCGGAGGAACAUGUGGUUUAAUUCGAUGAUACGCGAGGAACCUUACCCGGGCUUAAAUUGCAGAUGAAUUACGGUGAAAGCCGUAAGCCGCAAGGCAUCUGUGAAGGUGCUGCAUGGUUGUCGUCAGCUCGUGCCGUGAGGUGUCGGCUUAAGUGCCAUAACGAGCGCAACCCUUGUUGUCAGUUACUAGCAGGUUCCGCUGAGGACUCUGACAAGACUGCCAUCGUAAGAUGUGAGGAAGGUGGGGAUGACGUCAAAUCAGCACGGCCCUUACGUCCGGGGCUACACACGUGUUACAAUGGGGGGUACAGAGGGCCGCUACCACGCGAGUGGAUGCCAAUCCCAAAAACCUCUCUCAGUUCGGACUGGAGUCUGCAACCCGACUCCACGAAGCUGGAUUCGCUAGUAAUCGCGCAUCAGCCACGGCGCGGUGAAUACGUUCCCGGGCCU